UUUUGGGUCGCUGCGCUUGCGCAAAGCGAGCCAAAGUUAUAAGCUACAUCUCAGGCUUACUGCGAACCGAAUUUCGGCUGAAUUAUACAUGCACGUAGUAAAUAGUUCCAUAUUGUCGGUAACAAGUUAGAAAAUCCGUACCUUCAUUCAUUACAGGAGGGUUAUCAUACAUUUUGAAAUGUAUUAUGAUAACGAAAAUUACAGUAAAUUUGUGCUGUGUACAGAAAAAAUAUCAAUGCGCGAUUGAAUCACGUGACAGGUCACUGAGGUCAGCCAUGCUUCUUCCACAGCUUGAUUCGACUUUCGUUAUUUGAUACAGACAUCCAGGAUAUUUUGAAGAAAUUGUGUGUGAUAUAAUAAACUGUUGUGUGAGGUUUUAAAUGUGACAUGGUCAAGACAUACUAUGAUAGUAUUGUUCAGUGUGACUUCUGUCAUGUUACUGUUUGAUAACAGUGAAGGUACAGUACAUGUAGGUUCAGACAAGUUAUAUACAUGUAUACAGGACAAGAUAGCUCAAACUGGUAGUUUGUUAUAGCAAAAAGUGAUGAAGUUUCAGCCAUGAAGUCUUCAUCGUGAUGAUGAUCAUCAUGAUCCUAUUUAUAGAUUCUUUGCAAUUAUCUGUAAGGAAGAGGUUUCUGCUGCAGAGAAGAAAAAAAUUCAUACAGUAAGAAGCUGCCCACUCUGUUCAAAUGAAGCUGUCUGAAGUACCAAGUAGAACAAUGUAUUAUUUCUGGAACAACUUAAUUGAAGUGAAGCUUACUAUGUGAAGGAGUUAUUUCUGUAUUCAAAAGGAAACUUCAGCAUACAGAAUACCAAUUUAGAUAUUUGUAGCUUCAGUUAUGGGAGUACACAAGAUUAAUUGAACUGGAAUCCCUUCAGACGUUGACAUAGCUAAAUUUCGCAGUUUCAACUAUAAAUGGACAUUAAAUUAAUAUACAUUGGUUUUAU